GAUGAACGCUGGCGGCGUGCCUAAUACAUGCAAGUCGAGCGAACAGACGAGGAGCUUGCUCCUCUGACGUUAGCGGCGGACGGGUGAGUAACACGUGGAUAACCUACCUAUAAGACUGGGAUAACUUCGGGAAACCGGAGCUAAUACCGGAUAAUAUAUUGGACCGCAUGGUUCAAUAGUGAAAGACGGUUUUGCUGUCACUUAUAGAUGGAUCCGCGCCGCAUUAGCUAGUUGGUAAGGUAACGGCUUACCAAGGCAACGAUGCGUAGCCGACCUGAGAGGGUGAUCGGCCACACUGGAACUGAGACACGGUCCAGACUCCUACGGGAGGCAGCAGUGGGGAAUCUUCCGCAAUGGGCGAAAGCCUGACGGAGCAACGCCGCGUGAGUGAUGAAGGUCUUCGGAUCGUAAAACUCUGUUAUUAGGGAAGAACAAAUGUGUAAGUAACUAUGCACGUCUUGACGGUACCUAAUCAGAAAGCCACGGCUAACUACGUG
rnacentral:rRNA from 1 species